ensembl:lncRNA
CAAAUGGUCAAUAAUAACAUUUUAAUAUCUAUAUUUUUUUUAAUAUACAUUUUAAUAUUGACCACUUAUUGGUUAUUGGCUUCAACAUAUAACAGUAAAAUACAACUAUAAGCUUAUCAGUGUUGGCCAAAAUGUCAUUCUUAUCCUUUAUAUUUGUACUCCAGCAUAAAUCCUGACCUGUGCUGCCUACCUAAGCCCUACCUAUUGAAACAAUGCAUUAAACCCAUUCGUCCUGGUUGCCCUGGUUACGGCCACUUAUCAAGGAGAGGCCUUAAAGAUCAAACAGAUUUGUAACUACAGGAACAAUGCUGAGGAACCAGCAUCCGCUCAGCAGCUCUCUCAGCCCCACCCAGCAGCACUCAGCAUCUCUGCAGUACUUCUUCCUCAAAGAUAGAGAGAGAGAGGGAGACGGAGCGGGAGAGCGAGUAGGAAGUGGGAAGUCACCUCCGUCACUGUAAGUCACCCAACUAAUCAGCUCAGCUCAGCGCCUGGUGGGGGGAGGGGGGUGGUGGUAAGAGAGAGAGAGGAAAAGAGUGAGAGAGAGGUAACAAUUUCAAGGGGUGACUGAACAGCCACGUAAGGUGCUCCUGCCAUGUUCCCUCAAAGGAUGGGUUCACUGGAUGUGAAUGGAAUCAAAUUAGGAGAGAUGGCCAGCCGGGUUGGGGGCCGAUAUGAAGUGUUACUGUGGUGUUAUUGCAUUAAAGAAAUACAUCAGAAUGAUUUUUUUGAUGCAUAGUUGGAGUUAGUGAGCUAACGAGCAAGAUAACUAGCUAUAGGUGUUCUCACACUGAGUAAUGCAUAUUUUGAGG